GGGCCGGCGCUCCCGGUCCCCCGAGCCCCGCGCGCUAUGGCGGGCGCCCUGCUAGUCCGCAGCUCCGCGGCCGCCGGCUAGCCGGGCUGCGCGGUCCCUGCUGCCCUACUCCUUCCCCCCGCGUCCCGGGCCUCGGAGCCGCGCUGGGGAGGAUGAGUCCCUGGAGCUGGUUCCUGCUGCCGACCCUCUACCUCCUGCCCACGGGCGCAGACCCGCGGCGCGGCGCGCCUGCCUCCGCCAACUGCGAGCUCAAGCCCCAGCAAAGUGAAUUGAAUUCCUUCUUGUGGACCAUAAAGCGAGACCCGCCAUCUUACUUCUUUGGCACGAUCCAUGUUCCAUACACUCGGGUUUGGGACUUCAUCCCGGACAACUCCAAAGAAGCUUUUCAGCAGAGCAGCAUUGUGUACUUCGAGCUGGACCUCACUGACCCCUACACAAUCUCGGCCCUCACUAGUUGUCAGAUGCUGCCACAGGGAGAGAACCUCCAGGACGUGCUCCCCCGGGACAUCUACUGCCGCCUCAAGCGACACCUAGAGUAUGUCAAGCUCAUGAUGCCCUUGUGGAUGACGCCGGACCAGCGUGGCAAAGGCCUCUAUGCCGACUACCUCUUCAAUGCCAUUGCGGGGAACUGGGAGCGGAAGAGGCCCAUCUGGGUGAUGCUUAUGGUCAACUCCCUGACGGAAGUGGACAUUAAGUCCCGUGGGGUGCCUGUCUUAGACCUGUACCUUGCCCAGGAGGCUGAGCGGCUGAGGAAGCAGACUGGGGCUGUGGAAAAUGUGGAAGAGCAGUGCCAUCCACUGAAUGGGCUGAACUUCUCACAGGUCAUCUUUGCUUUGAACCAGACCCUCCUGCAGCAGGAGAGCCUUCGAGCAGGCAGCCUUCAGAUCCCCUACACGACGGAGGAUCUCAUCAAACACUAUAACUGUGGGGACCUCAGCUCUGUCAUCUUCAGCCAUGACAGCUCCCAGGCGGAGGUUCCCAAUUUUAUUAACGCCACGCUGCCGCCCCAGGAGCGCGUCACCGCGCAGGAGAUCGACAGCUACUUCCGCCAGGAGCUUAUCUACAAGCGGAAUGAGAGAAUGGGGAAGCGGGUGAAGGCGCUCUUGGAAGAGUUUCCUGACAAAGGCUUUUUCUUUGCCUUUGGAGCUGGUCAUUUCAUGGGCAACAACACAGUACUUGAUGUCUUGCGGCGCGAAGGCUAUGAGGUAGAACACGCCCCUGCUGGACGACCCAUCAACAAAGAGAAGAGCCAAACUCCGUCCUUGGGGCCCACCUUCUCGUCCAUCUUUGCUCCGGAAGUGCCUGCUGUGGACAUGCGAGCUCCGGAAGCUGCGUUUGCAGCCCACUCGCCUCACGUGUCCCCGCCCGGAAGUGCAGACCUGGGUGGUGGGGCGGAGCCGAAGUAUCGGAAGAAGCGGAGGCGGCCACGCCCACAGCGAAGGCAGCGGCUUAGGCAGUUCAGUGAUCUGUGGGUUCGACUGGAGGAGCGUGUCAUGGUCCCACAGCUCCAGGUCCCCAUUCUGGAUAGGUCCGUCUCCGCUGAGCUGCAGCUCCUUCACCGUGGGCAUUCCCACCACAGCCAGUUGGUGGCCAGCAGUGCCUGCCUGUCUCUCUGGACUCCUGUGUUCUGGGUGCUGGCGCUGGCUUUCCAAACAGAGGCACCCCUCCUGUAAUGACUGGAGGGGCUAGGCCAAGCCCCUGACCCCAUGGACUUGAAGGAUGGCCAUUCCUGUACUCCACACUCUGGUCUAGCCUUGAUAGGCCCAACCCAAGAAAAGAGAGUAAAAUGCAGUGUUGGUGGUUCUCUGUCCAAGAAUUGACUUUGGGUUAUCCAGCAGAGCUUGGGGUGAGGACAGCGCUGCCUAAAGAGGCUACAUUUACUGACCUUGCCCAGCUACUGGAGAUGGAGCCUGGCCCCUAGGCCCACAGAGCCUGCCCUGCCGGGUCACACAGCCAAACGUAUCACCUUCAGCCACUGCAGACCACUGAAAUGAACCAAUGCUGAACUCUUGACAGUAUUCAGAAAGUAUCAUCUUGAUGUGAGGCGGAACACAGGAAAAUAGAUGUAAAUUGACACUGCUUGCUGAAGCUUUGUGACACUGCAUUUGCUCUUGGGAGAGAUGGACUGCUGCCACAAAGGGGAGUUUUCUGUGCAUACUGGACACCUGAGUGUUGAGAACACAUGGCAGAUGGAGGCACUCUUGAACAGAACGUGGAAUAGGCAGACAGGAACAGGUGACACAAGAAGCCCUGACAAGCAGGAGCAGCACUUCCCUGAGACUUGACUCUGAGUGACUUCUGGAAGGGAAGCACUAACACAGCACUCCCAGUUGCUCCCUGACGUCCCCAUGAGCAGUGCUCACAUAAUAUAGGGUUCGCAUAAUGGAAGAAGGUAUGAAGCGAGAAGGGGCAUCCGCAAAACUGCCCCAAAGAGGAGGGUGGAGAGAGAG